UGGCUGUAAUUGCCUUAUUUACAGUUUGGUGUGAGUGAAGAGUGUAUGGUAAUUAACUGAGCCAGGACAGCUGGGCCGGAUGGUCAAGAAGGGAGUGGAGGAGACAAGAGGCACCAACUUUAUGAUCAAUCACUCGGAUGGCAGAUUGACGACCCUAAAGCAAAGGCAUACGCCCCAAGGACGAGAUAAGGAGUUGAGCCAAAGGGACGAGAAAGAAACAGCUGCAGAUCCUCCCCUAAGAAUUCAAAAUCAUACUAAUUAAGAGCAACCUUGACUACCUCAUGAUUGACGGUUCCGGUGUGACACAGCAAGGUCCAUAGACUUGUAUGGGAACUUAUCGCUAUAAAAGAAGGGUGUAUUGCCAUGGGACUUUGGGUUCGUUCUGCACCAACCUCGGAGCUUCGAAUGCGUUCAACAGCCCAGCUCCCCUCCCUCGUGUGCAGGUUCAGCUGGCCACUGGAACUGUCCGAGCAACACUAAGGACUAGUAACUGUAAGAUUCAGCUGCAGAACCUUUUGGCUGUGUGUGUGUGUGUGUGUGUGUGUGUGUGUGUGUGUGUGUGUGUGUGUGUGUGUGUGAAUGGAAGCACAUGCUGAUUUUAAUACUUAAAAUUGUACUCUCAAUAAACACGGUGUAUUGCCCACCAUAAACCAU